CCAGACAUUGGUGUGGAUCACUGAAAUCUGGUUGGCUGAUGAUGCAGAGGUCCAGUUUGGCAUGGCUGGUUCCAGAUAUUGUUCAGAUCAGUCAAAGCACAGGAUUUCCUGGAAGAAUAAUUCCUUGAGUUUAUUUAAGAAUUUGUGCAGGUUACAUAUUUAUGUCACGAUAACCAAAGUGUCCUGAUGAAGAGCUCUGUGUAAGCACGAAAGCUUGUCCCUCUCAUCAACAGAAGUUGGUCAAAUAAAAGUUAUUACUUCACCCACAUUGUCUCUAUGAUAACCUAACAACAGUAAUAAAUGCCCUUGUGAACAUUGGGCUUGAUUAUUUUAAUUCCUUCUUUGUAGGGCUGUCACUUGGGCUUCUCCAUCUUUUUUGCUUAUUCCCAAUUCAGUAGCACUGUUAACUACAGUGUUCUUAUGAUACUGCUAUGUGGGUUUUUUUUAAUUUGUCUGCCUCUCAUGGACUAGGCCUGACUGCAUUAUAGGCCUGGUGCUUGAACCUUGUACUGACGUGUAACCGCAGUUGCACCCCACUUGCCAUUUAAAGAUCACACCAUCAUAUUUGAAGUUUACAGGCGACUGCACUUUUGUUGCAAUAGUCUUGGGUGUGAAACUUGCUCCCCUGCGAAAUAUUUCUCAUUUCAUCCCUUCCUGCUUCUAAAUUUUAAUUGUUACAGUGCUUUUAAUAAAAACAACGAGGAGUCCUUAGAGACUAAUGUAUUUUUAGAAUGACCACUCUUGGCCUUCUAUUUAUUACCUUC